UACGGAGGGUGCAAGCGUUAUCCGGAUUCACUGGGUUUAAAGGGAGCGCAGGCGGACUUGUAAGUCAGUGGUGAAAUACCUGAGCUUAACUCGGGAACUUCCAUUGAUACUAUAGGUCUUGAAUGUUGUUGAGGUUUGCGGAAUGGGUCAUGUAGCGGUGAAAUGCAUAGAUAUGACCCGGAACACCUAUUGCGAAGGCAGCAGGCUAAACAAAUAUUGACGCUGAGGCUCGAAAGCGUGGGGAUCAAACAGG
rnacentral:rRNA from 1 species